UGGGGAAUAUUGCACAAUGGGCGCAAGCCUGAUGCAGCCAUGCCGCGUGUAUGAAGAAGGCCUUCGGGUUGUAAAGUACUUUCAGCGGGGAGGAAGGUGUUGAGGUUAAUAACCUCAGCAAUUGACGUUACCCGCAGAAGAAGCACCGGCUAACUCCGUGCCAGCAGCCGCGGUAAUACGGAGGGUGCAAGCGUUAAUCGGAAUUACUGGGCGUAAAGCGCACGCAGGCGGUCUGUCAAGUCGGAUGUGAAAGCCCCGGGCUCAACCUGGGAACUGCAUUCGAAACUGGCAGGCUAGAGUCUUGUAGAGGGGGGUAGAAUUCCAGGUGUAGCGGUGAAAUGCGUAGAGAUCUGGAGGAAUACCGGUGGCGAAGGCGGCCCCCUGGACAAAGACUGACGCUCAGGUGCGAAAGCGUGGGGAGCAAACA
rnacentral:rRNA from 1 species